rnacentral:rRNA from 1 species
UACGUAGGCAGCGAGCGUUGUUCGGAAUUACUGGGCGUAAAGAGUGUGUAGGCGGUGCUCUAAGUUCGGUGUGAAAUCUCCCGGCUUAACCCGGAACGGUCAGGUGAUACUGUUUUGCUAGAGUGCGGAAGGGGCAAUCGGAAUUCUCGGUGUAGCGGUGAAAUGCGUAGAUAUCGAGAGGAACACCGGUGGCGAAGGCGGCCAUCUGGACGGAUACUGACGCUGAGACGCGAAAGCGUGGGGAGCAAACAGG